CUUGUAAAUGCAGAUGGGUCCUUAUUACCAUUUUUAUUUUAUUGAAAAAAAGUACCACUUGGAAAACCCGAAUAAUUCCAAAGCUAAAACCUGAACAAAUCCCCCACUUUUAAAAAGGGUUUUUAUUAAAAUGAAAACCCAUAUACUUUGUCAGUAUGUGAAUAAAAAAAACUUGUUAUAUCGCAUGCUUAAGUAACAAUGUUUCUUUUAAGUUUCUGCCCCAUCAACUUUUCAUGGUAGUGUAUUGGACUACCAUGGGGGUAACGGGGAACAAAGAAUUUGGGGUCGAUUUCUGAGAGGGAGCCUGAAAAACGGCUACCACAUCCAAGGAAGGCAGCAGGCGCGUAAAUUACCCACUCCUGACGCAGGGAGGUAGUGACAAUAAAUCCCAAUGCGGAACUUCUGUUUUGUUAUUGGAUUGAGAACAAUGCACAACAGUUAUCGAUAAACAAUUGGAGGGCAAGUCUGGUGCCAGCAGCCGCGGUAAUUCUUCCUCCACAAACAUAUAUUAACGUUGUUG
rnacentral:rRNA from 1 species